ACAGUGUGUCUAUUAGCUGUGCAUAUGUGUAAGCAAGUUCCGAGGACUGAGAUAGUUGAGAUCUCGGCUAUAAGGAUGAAUCACUCUUGGUUGUUGUGAAUGAGCUAUAUUUCUCCAUGGAAAAGAGAGAAGAAGCAAGUCCCACUGCAAGCCCCUACAGAAGUCUGCAGUUCUCAAGGAGUAGCUGUUCAAGGACGGCUGAACUUCUAUCUGUUUUGAGGCAAGAAUGUCAACAGAGCAUCUGGACAAUUCUCUUCUCUCUGGGGUGAUUAGAUGCCAUUAGCUUUGUUUCUAGCUCCUCUGGGAGUGGACUGGGGUUUAUCCCAUAAUACAGUGCCAGUGAGUUCCAAAGGA
rnacentral:lncRNA from 1 species